GGAACAGUGACGUAGUUGGUUGUCGCAUCUGUUUAACACAUACAGUAGAAACCAAGAAAGUUCCCCAGUUCGAACCUGGGCCGUUUCA